rnacentral:rRNA from 2 species
GGAGCUUGCUUCUUUGCUGACGAGCGGCGGACGGGUGAGUAAUGCUUGGGAACUUGCCUUUGGGUGGGGGAUAACCAUGGGAAACUGUGGCUAAUACCGCAUGAUAUGUACGCAUCAAAGUGGGGGAUCUUCGGACCUCACGCCCAGAGAUAGGCCCAAGUGAGAUUAGCUAGUUGGUGGGGUAAAGGCUCACCAAGGCGACGAUCUCUAGCUGUUCUGAGAGGAUGAUCAGCCACACUGGGACUGAGACACGGCCCAGACUCCUACGGGAGGCAGCAGUGGGGAAUAUUGCACAAUGGGCGCAAGCCUGAUGCAGCCAUGCCGCGUGUGUGAAGAAGGCCUUCGGGUUGUAAAGCACUUUCAGUGGUGAGGAAGGCUAUAUGUUUAAUAGACAUGUAGAUUGACGUUAGCCACAGAAGAAGCACCGGCUAACUCCGUGCCAGCAGCCGCGGUAAUACGGAGGGUGCGAGCGUUAAUCGGAAUUACUGGGCGUAAAGCGUACGUAGGCGGCUUAUUAAGCAAGAUGUGAAAGCCCCGGGCUCAACCUGGGAAUUGCAUUUUGAACUGGUAGGCUCGAGUUUUGAAGAGGGUGGUAGAAUUUCCAGUGUAGCGGUGAAAUGCGUAGAUAUUGGAAGGAAUACCAGUGGCGAAGGCGGCCACCUGGUCAAAAACUGACGCUGAGGUACGAAAGCGUGGGGAGCAAACAGGAUUAGAUACCCUGGUAGUCCACGCCGUAAACGAUGUCAACUAGUUGUUCGUUUCAUAAACGAAGUGAGUAACGCAGCUAACGCACUAAGUUGACCGCCUGGGGAGUACGGCCGCAAGGUUAAAACUCAAAUGAAUUGACGGGGGCCCGCACAAGCGGUGGAGCAUGUGGUUUAAUUCGAUGCAACGCGAAGAACCUUACCAUCCCUUGACAUCCAGUGAAUUUUCUAGAGA